CCAGUGUUCCCCACUGGCUGAAAGACCCCAGCCUGACCCCUGGCUGAGCCCCUGAGUACCAGGCAAUCUCACUGACCUAUGGGAUUUCCUGCAAAUACUUCGUCAGUCUCCAGGGGGUCACUCACACCCUCUGAAUUGACUGCCAGGAUACGGAACUGGUAGGCUUUUCCCUCUUCCACCUUGUUGGUGGAGAAGUUGGUGACUUUGCCAUCCACCUCGCCUAUCUUAAUCCAGGAUUUCUUGCCAACUGCCCUCCGUUCCACUAUGAACUGUGUCACAGGUCGUCCUCCAUUGUCCUUGGGGGCCUUCCACUUCAUGUGCACACAAUUACCCGAGAGCUCCAGGAACUCCACUCGGCCCUGCGGAGGCUUGGGGCGGUCUGAGGACAGAGAACAGCUUUACAAUAGGGCUUUGAAGCAAAGGAUCAGAAGAGGCUCCUCCCACUCACCAGAUGUCUGGCCAGCCUGAAGCAUAAAUGGAUUCUGAGCUUUCUGGAUCUCUUGCUUUUCCCUGUGUCCAUUAGCCUUCCUCCUAAGACUUUUCAAAAGAAUUUGAUCCUUGCCCUCUGAACCUCCUGCCUGGAUAGAAAUGGGUGGACUGCACCCCUCUGGGAACUCUUGCUUUAGUUGGUCCUCUGGUAUCUUUCUUGACAAGUUCUCUCCCUCUUUU
rnacentral:lncRNA from 1 species